ensembl:misc_RNA 7SK 7SK RNA
UCCCUCCCGAAGCUGCGCGCUCUGUCGAAGAGGACGACCUUCCCCGAAUAGAGGAGGACCGGUCUUCGGUCAAGGGUAUACGAGUAGCUGCGCUCCCCUGCUAGAACCUCCAAACAAGCUCUCAAGCUCCACACUUCUUCAAACCACUGAAAC